CCUACGGGUGGCAGCAGUGGGGAAUAUUGGACAAUGGGCGAAAGCCUGAUCCAGCCAUGCCGCGUGUGUGAAGAAGGCCUUCGGGUUGUAAAGCACUUUCAGUGGGGAAGAAAGCCUUGGGGCUAAUACCCUCGAGGAAGGACAUCACCCACAGAAGAAGCACCGGCUAACUCCGUGCCAGCAGCCGCGGUAAUACGGAGGGUGCGAGCGUUAAUCGGAAUUACUGGGCGUAAAGCGCGCGUAGGCGGUCUGAUAAGCCGGUUGUGAAAGCCCCGGGCUCAACCUGGGAACGGCAUCCGGAACUGUCAGGCUAGAGUGCAGGAGAGGAAGGUAGAAUUCCCGGUGUAGGAGUGAAAUGCGUAGAGAUCGGGAGGAAUACCAGUGGCGAAGGCGGCCUUCUGGACUGACACUGACGCUGAGGUGCGAAAGCGUGGGUAGCAAACAGGAUUAGAUACCCUAGUAGUC
rnacentral:rRNA from 1 species